rnacentral:miRNA from 1 species
UUCACCAUAUAUAUUUAUUAUUUUGCAAUAAUUGGCCUUGUUCCUGAGCUGUUGGAUUCGGGGCCGUAGCACUGUCUGAGAGGUUUACAUUUCUCACAGUGAACCGGUCUCUUUUUCAGCUGCUUCCUGGCUUCUUUUUACUC